rnacentral:tRNA from 1 species
GCGGGUGGCGGCGGGGGCGUUGUCCAGCAUGGCGCGCCGGUCGAUCGACGGUGCGGGUUCAUCCGCGCGCA